rnacentral:rRNA from 1 species
AACGAACGCUGGCGGCAGGCCUAACACAUGCAAGUCGAGCGAACCGCAAGGUUAGCGGCGGACGGGUUAGUAACGCGUGGGAACGUGCCCAAAGGUACGGAAUAGCCUCGGGAAACUGAGAGUAAUACCGUAUGUGCCCGAAAGGGGAAAGAUUUAUCGCCUUUGGAUCGGCCCGCGUUGGAUUAGGUAGUUGGUGGGGUAACGGCCUACCAAGCCGACGAUCCAUAGCUGGUUUGAGAGGAUGAUCAGCAACACUGGGACUGAGACACGGCCCAGACUCCUACGGGAGGCAGCAGUGGGGAAUCUUAGACAAUGGGGGAAACCCUGAUCUAGCCAUGCCGCGUGAGCGAUGAAGGCCUUAGGGUUGUAAAGCUCUUUCACCGGGGAAGAUAAUGACGGUACCCGGAGAAGAAGCCCCGGCUAACUUCGUGCCAGCCGCCGCCGUAAUAC